rnacentral:tRNA from 1 species
GCAGUGGUGGCUCAGUGGUAGAAUUCUUGCCUUCCAUGUGGAAGACCUGAGUUCGAUCCCCAGCCAAUGCA